UAGACCAAUCUACUGUGGUAAUAUUAAUAAUGCAAUAUACAUCGAAUAUUCUUGAAAUUGGCAAGCACAAAACAGUAAGUAAAUAACACUGGGAUUUAUGUAGUUCCUCUCCAAUGUGGAGAGUACAUCUACGGCAGCAGUGACAACUACGAGCACUUCUUGACUAUAACAAGGUAACCCGAGUCGAUCCAAAAAUAGUGUCUCUCAAGUGUUUCCCAACCCCGAAACAAUUACUCGCUAUUUUAUCGCUCACAAGAAAGUAUUCUUACCACGGUAAAACAUUU
rnacentral:lncRNA from 1 species